UACAGAGGUCCCGAGCGUUGUUCGGAUUCAUUGGGCGUAAAGGGUGCGUAGGCGGCCGUGCAAGUCUGGCGUGAAAGCCCCGGGCUCAGCCCGGGAAGUGCGCUCGAAACUGCGCGGCUCGAGUGCCGGAGGGGAGAGUGGAAUUCCUGGUGUAGCGGUGAAAUGCGCAGAUAUCAGGAGGAACACCGGUGGCGAAGGCGGGUCUCUGGGCCGAUACUGACGCUGAGGAGCGAAAGCGUGGGGAGCGAACAGG
rnacentral:rRNA from 1 species